AUUGAACGCUGGCGGCAGGCUUAACACAUGCAAGUCGAACGAGUGGCGGACGGGUGAGUAAUGUCUGGGAAACUGCCUGAUGGAGGGGGAUAACUACUGGUAACGGUAGCUAUUACCGCAUACCAUCGGAUGUGCCAAGAUGGGAUUAGCUAGUAGGUUGGGUGAAGGCUCACCUAGGCGACGAGCCCUAGCUGGUCUGGGAGGAUGACCAGCCCCACUGGAACUGAGCCACGGGCCGUACUCCUACGGGAGGCAGCAGGGGAGAAUAGUGCAAAAUGGGCGCAGGCCUGAUGCAGCCAUGCGGCGUAUAUGAAGAGGGCCUUCGGGUUGUAACGUACGUUCAGCGGGGAGGCGUUACCCGCAGAAGAAGCACCGGCGAACUCCGUGCCAGCCGCCGCGGUAAUAC
rnacentral:rRNA from 1 species